rnacentral:rRNA from 1 species
CGCAGCCGCGGUAAUUCCAGCUCCAAUAGCGUAUAUUAAAGUUGUUGCAGUUAAAAAGCUCGUAGUUGAAUUUCGGGGUCAGUAGGUUGGUCAUGCCACUGGUAUGUACUGGUCUCACUGAUUCCUCCUUCCUGAUGAGCCGUAAUGCCAUUAAUUUGGUGUUGCGAGGAAUCUGGACUGUUACUUUGAAAAAUUAGAGUGUUUAAAGCAGGCUAACGCUUGAAUACAUUAGCAUGGAAUAAUGAAAUAGGACGUUCGAUCCUAUUUUGUUGGCUUCUAGGAUUGACGUAAUGAUUAAUAGGGAUAGUUGGGGGCAUUAGUAUUCAAUUGUCAGAGGUGAAAUUCUUGGAUUUAUUGAAGACUAACUACUGCGAAAGCAUUUGCCAAGGAUGCUUUCAUUAAUCAAGAACGAAAGUUAGGGGAUCGAAGACGAUCAGAUACCGUCGUAGUCUUAACCAUAAACUAUGCCGACUAGGGAUCGGAUGAUGUUAAUUUUUAUGACUCA